rnacentral:misc_RNA from 1 species
CGGGUGCUGCUCUUCACGUAAGCUGGUCGAUACAUUCCAGUGGCCUUAAGCAAAUCCGAGGGAGCUGGCUCUGUCACGGUCCUGGCCGCGUUAUCUGGCGCCCACCUGUAUAUACAGGUCCUCGGGAAUAAUCGUCCAACGGUCGCUGCGGGCCCGCC